AGCGAACGCUGGCGGCAGGCUUAACACAUGCAAGUCGAGCGGGCACUUUCGGGUGUCAGCGGCGGACGGGUGAGUAACGCGUGGGAACGUGCCCUCUGGUUCGGAAUAACUCAGGGAAACUUGAGCUAAUACCGGAUACGCCCUUUUGGGGAAAGGCUUGCUGCCGGAGGAUCGGCCCGCGUCUGAUUAGCUAGUUGGUGAGGUAACGGCUCACCAAGGCGACGAUCAGUAGCUGGUCUGAGAGGAUGAUCAGCCACACUGGGACUGAGACACGGCCCAGACUCCUACGGGAGGCAGCAGGGGGGAAUAUUGGACAAUGGGCGCAAGCCUGAUCCAGCCAUGCCGCGUGAGUGAUGAAGGCCUUAGGGUUGUAAAGCUCUUUUAUCCGGGACGAUAAUGACGGUACCGGAGGAAUAAGCCCCGGCUGACUUCGU
rnacentral:rRNA from 1 species